GACGAACGCUGGCGGCGUGCCUAAUACAUGCAAGUCGAGCGAAUGGAUGGGAGCUUGCUCCCUGAAGUUAGCGGCGGACGGGUGAGUAACACGUGGGCAACCUGCCUGUAAGACUGGGAUAACUUCGGGAAACCGGAGCUAAUACCGGAUACAUUCUUUCUUCGCCUGAAGAAAGAUGGAAAGAUGGUUUCGGCUAUCACUUACAAAUGGGCCCGCGGCGCAUUAGCUAGUUGGUGAGGUAACGGCUCACCAAGGCAACGAUGCGUAGCCGACCUGAGAGGGUGAUCGGCCACACUGGGACUGAGACACGGCCCAGACUCCUACGGGAGGCAGCAGUAGGGAAUCUUCCGCAAUGGACGAAAGUCUGACGGAGCAACGCCGCGUGAGCGAAGAAGGCCUUCGGGUCGUAAAGCUCUGUUGUUAGGGAAGAACAAGUACCAGAGUAACUGCUGGUACCUUGACGGUACCUAACCAGAAAGCCACGGCUAACUACGUGCCAGCCGCCGCGGUAACAC
rnacentral:rRNA from 1 species